rnacentral:rRNA from 1 species
UACGUAGGGUGCAAGCGUUAAUCGGAAUUACUGGGCGUAAAGCGUGCGCAGGCGGUUUUGUAAGUCUGACGUGAAAUCCCCGGGCUCAACCUGGGGAAUGGCAUUUGUGACUGGAAGGCUAGAGUGUGUCAGAGGGGGGGUAGAAUUCCACGUGUAGCAGUGAAAUGCGUAGAGAUGUGGAGGAAUACCGAUGGCGAAGGCAGCCCCCUGGGAUAACACUGACGCUCAUGCACGAAAGCGUGGGGAGCAAACAGG